GCCCCGGUAGCAUAGCUCGGUCAAUGCGCCCGCCUUGUAAGCGGGAGACCGCGGGUUCAAAUCCCGCCCGGGGCU
rnacentral:tRNA from 2 species